ensembl:miRNA MIR101-1 microRNA 101-1
GGCUGCCCUGGCUCAGUUAUCACAGUGCUGAUGCUGUCCGUUCUCAAGGUACAGUACUGUGAUAACUGAAGGAUGGCAGCCA